rnacentral:rRNA from 1 species
GAUGAACGCUGGCGGCGUGCCUAACACAUGCAAGUCGAGCGAUUCUCUUCGGAGAAGAGCGGCGGACGGGUGAGUAACGCGUGGGUAACCUGCCCUGUACACACGGAUAACAUACCGAAAGGUAUGCUAAUACGAGAUAAUAUGCAUUUGUCGCAUGGUAGAAGUAUAAAAGCUUUUGCGGUACAGGAUGGACCCGCGUCUGAUUAGCUAGUUGGUAAGGUAACGGCUUACCAAGGCGACGAUAAGUAGCCGACCUGAGAGGGUGAUCGGCCACAUUGGAACUGAGACACGGUCCAAACUCCUACGGGAGGCAGCAGUGGGGAAUAUUGCACAAUGGGCGAAAGCCUGAUGCAGCAACGCCGCGUGAGCGAUGAAGGCCUUCGGGUCGUAAAGCUCUGUCCUCAAGGAAGAUAAUGACGGUACUUGAGGAGGAAGCCCCGGCUAACUACGUGCCAGCAGCCGCGGUAA